rnacentral:rRNA from 1 species
UACGUAGGGUGCGAGCGUUAAUCGGAAUUACUGGGCGUAAAGCGUGCGCAGGCGGUUUUGUAAGCCAGAUGUGAAAUCCCCGGGCUCAACCUGGGAAUGGCAUUUGGGACUGCAAGGCUCGAGUGCGGCAGAGGAGACUGGAACUCCUGGUGUAGCAGUGAAAUGCGUAGAUAUCAGGAGGAAUACCGAUGGCGAAGGCAGGUCUCUGGGCUGACACUGACGCUCAUGCACGAAAGCGUGGGUAGCAAACAGG